rnacentral:piRNA from 1 species
UCCAUACAGAAGAGGGCCGUUCGGAUUG